UGCCGAGAGUCGUGUGGAUUAAAUAGCUUUGCAACACAAGGGAUGGCUAGCAAGCUAGCCAUGCCCCCGGGUUAGGCACAGUGUUCCUUGACGCCUUCGGCGCCGUGGGUUCUUUUACCCCGAGCCCCCACCCACUCCAAGGAGGGGAGGUGGUCGAGGCAUAUUGGCCGAGCGACGGACAAUGCCAUCGCCGACGGAUUGGAUGACGCGUGCACGGUCUGUUUUGGUCAGGGUCACGACAAUGAUCCUUCCGCAGGUUCACCUACGGAAAUCGAAUUCCGGGCUGCCACUG
rnacentral:rRNA from 1 species